CCCAAAUUCACAGUUGUCGUGAAGAAACUUAGGUUUAACAGAAAUUCACAUCAAGAUUACAUCCAUGGAUUAGCAAGGAAAAUUGGAGUUUCUUCAAUUGUCAGACUCUCAAGUGGCGAUGUUGAAGGCGAGUUUAUGCUCUGUAACGGUG